rnacentral:rRNA from 1 species
UACGGAGGGGGCUAGCGUUGUUCGGAAUUACUGGGCGUAAAGCGCACGUAGGCGGCUUUGUAAGUUAGAGGUGAAAGCCCGGGGCUCAACUCCGGAAUUGCCUUUAAGACUGCAUCGCUAGAAUUGUGGAGAGGUAAGUGGAAUUCCGAGUGUAGAGGUGAAAUUCGUAGAUAUUCGGAAGAACACCAGUGGCAAAGGCGACUUACUGGACACAUAUUGACGCUGAGGUGCGAAAGCGUGGGGAGCAAACAGG